UACGUAGGGGGCGAGCGUUGUCCGGAGUUACUGUGCGUAAAGCGCACGCAGGCGGUCUGUGAAGUUUGGAGUGACAGUUGGUGGCUCAACCACCAAAGUGCUUUGAAAACUGAUAGACUUGAGGGCUUCAGAGGGACACGGAAUUCCGGGUGGAGUGGUGAAAUGCGUAGAGAUCCGGAGGAACACCAAAGGCGAAGGCAGUGUCCUGGGGAGUACCUGACGCUCAGGUGCGAAAGCCAGGGGAGCGAACGGG
rnacentral:rRNA from 1 species